rnacentral:rRNA from 1 species
UACGAAGGGGGCUAGCGUUGCUCGGAAUCACUGGGCGUAAAGGGUGCGUAGGCGGCGCCGUAAGUCGGGUGUGAAAUCUCGGAGCUUAACUCCGAAACUGCAUUCGAUACUGCCGUGCUUGAGGACUGGAGAGGAGACUGGAAUUUACGGUGUAGCGGUGAAAUGCGUAGAUAUCGUAAGGAAGACCAGUGGCGAAGGCGGGUCUCUGGACAGUUCCUGACGCUGAGGCACGAAAGCGUGGGGAGCAAACAGG